rnacentral:ncRNA from 1 species
AGAGCAUGUGGUUUAAUUCGAUACAAUGCGCAAAACCUUACCAGCCCUUGACAUAUGAACAAAAAAACAUGUCCUUAACGGGAUGGUACUGACUUUCAUACAGGUGUUGCAUGGCUGUCGUCAGCUCGUGUCRUGAGAUGUUUGGUCAAGUCCUAUAACGAGCGAAACCCUCGUUGAACAUUCUAAACUAGCACGAGUCUCAUAAGUGUCCAGUUUAAGGGUAUUACAUAGAAACACACCACUAUAACAUGAAUCAAAUAUGUACUUU